CAAAAAAAUUUUAAAUUUAUUUUAAAAUUUUUUUUUUGUGCGUACGAUAAUUUUUCAGAAGAUCCGAUAAUUUGACGGCACUGUGUCGAUCAGACAAGCAAA